rnacentral:rRNA from 1 species
UACGUAGGGGGCAAGCGUUCUCCGGAUUUAUUGGGCGUAAAGAGCGUGUAGGCGGCCAGGUAGGUCUGGUGUGAAAACUCGAGGCUCAACCUCGAGAGGUCAUCGGAAACCAUCUGGCUAGAGUCCGGAAGAGGAGAGUGGAAUUCCCGGUGUAGCGGUGAAAUGCGCAGAUAUCGGGAAGAACACCUAUGGCGAAGGCAGCUCUCUGGGACGGUACUGACGCUGAGACGCGAAAGCGUGGGGAGCGAACAGG